rnacentral:tRNA from 2 species
AGUCCACUAGCUCAGUAGGAUAGAGCAUCUGCCUUCUAAGCAGACGGUCGCAGGUUCGAUUCCUGUGUGGACUA